CAGUCGCCGCGGGAAUACGUAGGGUGCGAGCGUUAAUCGGAAUUACUGGGCGUAAAGCGUGCGCAGGCGGUUUUGUAAGACAGGCGUGAAAUCCCCGGGCUCAACCUGGGAAUGGCGCUUGUGACUGCAAAGCUAGAGUGCGGCAGAGGGGGAUGGAAUUCCGCGUGUAGCAGUGAAAUGCGUAGAUAUGCGGAGGAACACCGAUGGCGAAGGCAAUCCCCUGGGCCUGCACUGACGCUCAUGCACGAAAGCGUGGGGAGCAAACAGGAUUAGAUACCCCUGUAGUCCCUGUCUCUUAUAC
rnacentral:rRNA from 1 species